AGAGCUAGGUUCAAGGAGAUCAAACAAAGUUGUUUCUGACAGGUUCAACAUUAUCAAUUACCCAACUCAUUCUCAUGAUGUAGACAAUAUAUAGUAAACUAGGAUAAGACUUAAGGUGAAAAGUCUUUUAAUGAUUAUCUAAAUUUGGCAGAUUUGACCAAACAGUUUAAUCUAUAGGAUUGAACGUUUAGAAAUCACCUAUAUGAGGGCGAAGUGGAAGCCGCUUCAAAGAGAAUGUUAGUAAAGGCCUAUUCUCUAAGCUCUCAUGAAACCAAGACGUGUUCAUGGCUGAAAAGAACAAAACCGUGAGAACUAUAAA
rnacentral:lncRNA from 1 species